rnacentral:misc_RNA from 1 species
AUAUAUAUAUAUAUAUAUAUAAAAGAGGCAGUACAAAUGUGAAGAAAACAAGGAUCAGAACUAAAAAAAUUUUUUGCAACACAAUGUACAACCAGCCAGAACAUUUCAACCUUUUGGCACCUCAGCAUCUCCAUUAUCCAUUCAAGAAGCCUUCUCCAUAUCUGCAAAGCAUAUUGUUUGACUAUUAACUUUCAUACUAGACAGUGAAUAAUGAGAUCACCCAAUUUACAAGAGAAAGAAGAAAUAAAUACACCACUUAAAAUGAAUAUAAUGCUUGACUUUUAUUAUAACCAUGCCAUCACAUUUUAGAAUGCCCAUAGCACUUCUGAAACACCUGCCUCCUUAGCUGCAAUGUAUGGUGGAGUAUAAAAAACUAUUGAAUUUAUGGCUUUAAAAACCUAGAGGAUCACAGCCCAUUGCGUGUGCUAGACACUAAAUGUGAAUGUUAAUGGUCAGCCAAUCUUUGCAUCUGCAUGAAACAUGACAUUGAGUUGCAAAUACAAACUUCUUCAGCUGCUUAAACAAUUUAAGACAGAAUAUUAAGGAUAUCAGAAAGCAGGAGAAUGUAAGUACCAGAGUCUGUUUCAUGCCACUAAGGCAUUGACUGUAAAAGCCAUCCAACACCAAGCAGAUCACAGAAAUUUAAACUUCACUCUAAAUAAACUACAUAUGAGACUCUCAUGGACCAACUUCAUCAAGGUAUGGAAUUCAUGGUCUGAGCAGCAGGAGAAGUGUUUCCUUCUAAGCACAAGGCAUUAAUUUCUGCUAUUUACACACGCGCGCAUGCCAUGGACAUUAUAAAUUAUCAUACAAAUUAGAAGACAUCUUUCACCCUUCACUCUGUCCUUAGUAGAGAUUCAAUAGCGAACCUAAUCAAUUACCCUUGUGUUUGUAGGGAACAACUCCAAACAACUGAAAAAAUUAAAUCCAUUAAAAGAAGGGGUAGACCUAAACU